UCUUUCUUUCUUUCUUUCUUUCCGAGCUAAGUAAGGGCCGAUUCUUUAGGUAAAUGAAUCCAUCAGACAGAAAGAAAGUUGCAAAAUGUGGCAUUUCUAGCAGCUCUUUCCAGUCUCUCUGUAACCCUGCCGCUACCUCCCCCCCACCACACACACAUACACUUUUUCUCCCCCCCGCCCUCCCCGCCCGAGUCCCCUUUCGGAACUGGCUAUGUUUAUAACCAGAGGGAAUCUGAGAGGGAGUUUCUUUGGGGAAGGAAGGCCCAUUUUCGCCACCGAACAAAGAAUGAAAAUGCACCAACAAAGGGAUCCCCCUCCCCAGUGAGGGAGACGCAGGAUCAGAAAAGCGAGAGAGACAUCGGGGGAAAAACACACGGGCUAGAGAGAGCCAGGCAAAGGAAGAAAGGAUCUCCACUGAGCUGCGGAAGGUUUUGCCCACCUCGCCUGCCGCUCUUCUCCUUUGCCACCCUGCUCCCUUCCCUCCGUUCUCCUCUCUCUGAGGUUUGCAAACAAAACGUCACCAAUCGAUAAGCCUCUCGCUGAGUGUGUGUGUGUGUGUGUGUGUGUGUGUGUGUGUGUGUGUGUGUGUGUGUGUGUGUGUGUGUGUGUGUGUGUUUAAAAUGUAUCUACUCCGUGAAAUUGAGGUUGGGGCCACUUUAAAUGAAAAUCUACCUUUCGCCUUCAGGGCUACUUUAUUAAGGGAUAGCCGGGAGCUCAGCGUCCGGCAGAAAACUAGGUUGUACUUUCCAUUAGGAAAUGUCAAUCAAUCCUUUUCAAUACAUCAAUUAAUAAAUCCGAUUGGUGAUAGCGCCUCCAGGGUACCUCUCUGGGUAGGUGGAGAAGUGAGUGGGGACGGCGAAGUUAGAAGGAAACUGUCCUCAAAUAGCAGCCAGACACCUUUCCCCCCUCCUCGAGACAUGAACUGAGAAGCAUUCAAAUCCUGAGCUUAAAAAUAAGUACAAGGACCUCCCAGCCAAAACCAGAAUGAGAUCUCAGGCGAGGCAAAGGUUUGGGGAGCCAGUAUAAAGCCCUGGCCUGUGGAAACAAGCCGGGUGUUAGAAAAGGGGACACAUAAGAACGGAAGGGAAAGAAAGAAAAUCAGAGAGGGGGAAAUUAAAAGAAGAGAGAAUUUCCACGGUGGAGUCUUCAGGAUGUGUCUCUAAGCCUUAUGUGUAGUUAAAUUAGUACAGUUUAGUGAGAUAGCUCAGUGGCGAAUAUUUUUUUGUCUCUGUGUGUGUUUGUGUUUGUGUGUGUGUGUGUAUAUAUGUGUGUGUGUGUAUACGCGCGAUUAGAACAGGGCCUGUAAAUUCUCCUCGUUAUUUGAUUUAUAUUUAGCCUGCACUUAUUUAAACUACACCCCCUCUCCCUAAUCCACGCCACGCAACUCUAACCCGGGGAAUAAACAUCAUCGGUUUUGUUCGGUUAAUUUCAAAGUGAACUGCAGCCCCAAGGUUUCAUUUUUCAUAAUUAAAAGGGGCCGGGAAGCUACAAAACUCCUCCAAGCUGGCGAUUCAUCCUAGCUGUAGGAAGCCACAGGAAGUUUUCAGCCAGGCGAGCGGCCCCUUUGGCGGAGGAUGGCGGAGCUGGGACAGGUGCAGCUGCAGCAACAAGGACCCCAUCAUUCCCUGAUUGUCUGGAUCAAUGGCACUCAACCUGAAGCUUGGAGGCAUGAGCAGCAGGGCGUGUGGAGUGCAGAUCCCAGGAUCACACCAAGUGGGGAGGGAUACUGAACAAACCGACUGUCAGUGGGGGAAGAAAGUAAGAUCUGUCAGCUCUGCAGGAGGAAGGAAAGAAGCUGCCUGGAAGUGGGCUCCUCCUCUCUGGAGAUGGCUGUCCCCACACCCCGAGGGAAGCUGUGAUGCAAUAGGACUUUGCAACUUAUGUUUCUCCUUUCAUUUUAAAAUUCAUUGAGACCUGUUAUGAGAGCUGAGCAGAUUUCAGUGCAUAGAUAUGAUUCCCCA